rnacentral:rRNA from 1 species
CCCUUAGAUGUCCGGGGCUGCACGCGCGCUACACUGAAGGAAUCAGCGUGCUAAAACCAUUGUCGAAAGGCAUUGGUAAACCCAUUAAAAUCCUACGUGAUUGGGAUCGGGAAUUGCAAUUAUUUCCCUUGAACGAGGAAUUCCCAGUAAGUGUGGGUCAUAAGCUCGCGUUGAUUACGUCCCUGCCCUUUAUACACACCGCCCGUCGCUGCCCGGGACUGAGCCGUUUCGAGAAAAGCGGGGACUGCUGCUGUCGGGGCUUUCGGGCCUUGGCUUCGGUGGAAACCGCUUUAAUCGCAGUGGCUUGAACCGGGCAAAAGUCGUAACA